rnacentral:rRNA from 1 species
GCCUACGGGAGGCAGCAUGUGGGCCUACGGGAGGCAGCAGUCAGGAAUAUUGCACAAUGGGAGAAAGCCUGAUGCAGCCAUGCCGCGUGUGUGAAGAAGGCCUUCGGGUUGUAAACCGCUUUCGGCAGGGACGAAGCGAAAGUGACGGUACCUGCAGAAGAAGGUCCGGCUAACUACGUGCCAGCAGCCGCGGUC